UACGUAGGGGGCAAGCGUUGUCCGGAAUUAUUGGGCGUAAAGAGCUCGUAGGCGGUUCGGCAAGUCGGGUGUGAAACCCCCAGGCUCAACCUGGGGACGCCACCCGAUACUGCUGUGACUUGAGUCCGGUAGGGGAGCGUGGAAUUCCUGGUGUAGCGGUGAAAUGCGCAGAUAUCAGGAGGAACACCAGCGGCGAAGGCGGCGCUCUGGGCCGGAACUGACGCUGAGGAGCGAAAGCGUGGGUAGCAAACAGG
rnacentral:rRNA from 1 species